rnacentral:rRNA from 1 species
UCGGGAAUUUUGGGCAAUGGGCGAAAGCCUGACCCAGCAACGCCGCGUGAAGGAUGAUGUAUUUCGGUAUGUAAACUUCGUAAGAAUAGGAAGAAUAAAUGACGGUACUAUUUGUAAGGUCCGGCUAACUACGUGCCAGCAGCCGCGGUAAUACGUAGGGACCAAGCGUUGUUCGGAUUUACUGGGCGUAAAGGGCGCGUAGGCGGUGUGUCAAGUCAGUUGUGAAAUCUCCGAGCUUAACUCGGAACGGUCAACUGAUACUGUCACACUAGAGUACAGAAGGGGCAAUCGGAAUUCUUGGUGUAGCGGUGAAAUGCGUAGAUAUCAAGAGGAACAC